UAUCUUCUUCUUGUUUUCAUUUUAAACAAACUUCAUAACUCAAUUACAACACGAAACUAAGUUUACCUGUAAUUGCAGUUGUAGGCUUUCACUAAGGCCACUGCUAUCAACAUAACAACCAACUUAUGCUUAAACAUCUGUAUUUAGUUCCACUACAUUCCCUGAAACUCAUCACAGUUCUCUGUAACCUAAUACGAACUGCAUCAUAACUUCAACUUCAUUUCAUGCCAUUAGUACCAGCAAAUGUAAAUAAUAUCCUCAACUCAAACAACACAUUUACAUCAGUUCACUAACGCCGAGUACAACUCAUAUAACAUUUGUCAGCUUCAUCCACCACCAGAACAUCUUCAAAACACCCAACUCAGUUCACCAGCAACACCACUACCUUUGUAUACUUUCAUUACCAUACCACUGAUACUAAAAUAUUCUCAUUAAGCUCUUCUUUAACAACACCAUUAAAACUAUAGGAUGACCAUAACUUACAUUCAAUUCCACACAACACACCAACUUCUACAUCUCAAGCAUAUAAUCCUCAACUGUAAUUCAAUGCAUAAAUUUAAUCUGCAAUUCCAUUACAUAUUCACAUAACCAUUUCAAUCCCAUCUCAUUUAUAUAUUCAUAAAUUCAACCAUCAAACUUUCACAACUUUACCUAAAAUUACAGAGUAGAACAAUUACCUCAAUUAGAACUACUCAGAUAAUAGAAUUCAAGUUCUUCUUCACCUGACUCAAAUCAUCAACUUGUCUUCAGACUAACAACUCCCAAAUCUCUAUCAACAUCCCUGAUUCUCAGAAACCCUAUAACCAAUUCCAAAUCCUAUAUUUUCUAAUUCUGAGUUCAGAAGAUAAUUCUAACUUUUCAUACCAACCAUACCCAACCUUUAAUUUCUCCUUAAUCAACUCAACUCUAAUUUCCAAUGAAUUCAGAAACCCUAAUUCUAAUUUGGGGAAGAACAUGAGGAACUGAAAUCAAAAUUAAACCCAUGCAAACAUUACUACUUCAUACCUGAUCAAAACCCAUCUCAAAUCUCCCUUUUAAAACCAUUUUUCUGCUUAUCUUUCUUUCCUCGAUUUCUCCGUAUCGUCUUAUCCCAAAAGUCAUUCGAAGAGAAAUCAUUUUUCUCUUCUUUUCCUUCUUCCUCUGUUGUCUUCUUUCUUUCUUUCUGUCGACUUCAAUCUCAGAGAUUUGAGGUUCUUUUGUGUGAGGGAUUCAUGAAAGCUUUGUAGAUUGAUGAAUUAAAGAAGAUGGUGCUACAGAUAAAGUUGGCUGAGCACCGAGUGAAGCAAAAGUGGUGCUGCUGUGAAAUUGAUCGUUAGAGUUUAAUUUUGGAAGGAAGAAUCAAGAAAAGUAUAGUGAUAUCGAGGAGUGGAGGAUGGUGGUGAUGAUGAUUCAAUUAGUUGAUUCAGAUUUGCAAGGAAAGGUCCAGAAUUUGAUAGAAUACUGCUCCUUAAUCAAUAGAACAGCAUGGACGAGGUAGCAUGGAUCCUGAUGACUUGGGAAUUGCUGGCUAGGUUUGAGAUGAGGGUAACUAACUCCCAAGGACUGUUCAUUUUUGCCGUAUGCUGGAAGUCUGAGGCUGAGUUGCUUAGUAAAUAUCUUCAUGAUAACAACGUUUCUGCAAAGAGCUACCAUAGCGGUAUCCCAGCAAAAGAUAGGAGUCGAACUCGAGAGUUAUUUUGUCGAAUAAGAUAAGAGUGGUGUGGUCCAUGAAUCCUUAUACACUUUUUUUUCCUUUGCAGAUGUGGUCACUGCAAAAGCCUUGUUAUCACAAGUAUCUAUGAAAAGGUUGCAUCAGUAUAUAAACCUGGAAGGCGCUAUCUCCAUUUUUUUGUACAUGGUGCAGCAUUUAUAAUUUGAUGUCAUAUGCUAGUCAAUGAGAACUUUGCAUGAGAAGGUACUUCACUUAUUUGUAUUUCAGUUUUUUUUUUCUUGAAGACUUCAACUGUAAGAGUUUCUUUUUCUUUAAAACAUUUGAUAAGAUUCCCUUGGUGUGAAAUUGAGUUUACAGCAAGUUAUGUUGUAUUUGUGUGAUUCUUGUAAAUUUUAAUGGAUUUCUUACUUUGUUGU